rnacentral:lncRNA from 1 species
UCCGGCUCCCGUAGGAGUCCGGACGAAGUCUGUCUGCAGCCGUUGGAGUCGAGGAUGAAGCCCGGCUCCCGUAAAAGUCCGGGCGGAGUCUUCCUGCAAUUAAAGUUAAAGGCGAAGUCCGGCUCCCGUAGGAGUCCGGACGGGGCUUACCAGCAGUUGAUGUCGAGGAUGGAGCCCGGCUCCCGUAGGAGUUCGGGUGGAGUCAACUUG